UAUAUAUUACCUUCGUCCGAAAAUAUUUGUCAUCAAAAUGGAUAAAAAGAGAUGUAUCUAGAACUAAAAUACGUCUAGAUACAUCCUCUUUUUCUAUUUUGAUGACAAGUAUUUUCGGACAGAGGAAGUAUAAA
rfam:Triticum aestivum genome assembly, contig: Triticum_aestivum_CS42_TGACv1_scaffold_642512_T_7AS-0.094585_5DL-0.048568